UGAUAGUUCAAAAGAUUUGUACUCAUUUCCGUUAUUCACAACAAAACCUAUGUUUGCGAUAGUUAACGGACAACUCACAAACAUGAGGUGUUAUUUUUCCCAGUAGAACUGAAAUUCUGUAAACAAAUUAUAAAUUAUGAAUAAUUUGUGAUGAUUGAUGUGGAUUUAUUUAAAAGUCCUAAUGUAAAACAGGCGAUAAUGACGGCAAGUUGAUGGAAACAUUUUUCACAGGUAGUAAAUCCCAAGUUUUUGGACCCAGAUAGCUGCAGUGCCUCUGUCCCACUGUUUUGAUACAUUUCGGAACCACAACACUAUGUUUUUGUCUCCUAGUAUUGUAUGGGUGAUCCGAGCGUGUUAUUUUAAUUUCAUUUUUGUAUAUUUUUGUAUAUUUAAGUGUGUGUCAUUUACUCCUCCCCAUCCUAUUAUGCCGUAUGAAAGUUGGGACUGAACUAAACUAUAAUACACAGUUAUCAAAUGGGUGAUAUCAAGGUAUUCUUUCAAGAGUUUGAAUCUUGAUAUGAAUCCUCGAAGUUUAUUUGUUAGAUACGAUAUAUGUAAAUCCCAUUUCAAAUGUCGGUCAAUUUUUAUACCGAGGUAUUUAAUGGAGCUGGCUUCUGGAAUUGAUAUAUUCUGGUUUAUAUUCAAUGGCCCCAAUUCGGCAAAUUGUUAGUAUAGGAGGUGAAGGGUAAGUAUUUGGUCUUUUCCGUAUUCGAAGUUAGUUUUUUGUAUAAAAACCAUUUAUUAACAUUGUUGAAAUCUUUUUCCGCCUUCGCUUUCAGUUGUUGCCAUGUAUCGUCACUAUAAAAUACUGCUGUGUCAUCUGCAAAGCUCAGAAUAGUUCCU